GCCGAGGUGGCGGAAUUGGUAGACGCGCUAGCUUCAGGUGCUAGUUUCCUUAUGGAAGUGCCGGUUCGACUCCGGCUCUCGGUACCA
rnacentral:tRNA from 1 species